UACGGGGGGGGCAAGCGUUGUUCGGAAUUACUGGGCGUAAAGGGUUCGUAGGUGGCCGACUAAGUCAGACGUGAAAUCCCUCAGCUCAACUGGGGAACUGCGUCUGAGACUGGCCGGCUUGAGUGCAGGAGAGGAACGCGGAAUUCCAGGUGUAGCGGUGAAAUGCGUAGAUAUCUGGAGGAACACCGGUGGCGAAGGCGGCGUUCUGGACUGCUACUGACACUGAGGCACGAAAGCUAGGGGAGCGAACGGG
rnacentral:rRNA from 1 species